GCCUUCGUGGUGUAGUGGUCAGCACGCUCGACGUUCAUUCGAGAAGUCCGUGGUUCUAAUCCCGGCGAGGGCA
rfam:Stegodyphus mimosarum contig79049, whole genome shotgun sequence.